GAUGAACGCUAGCUACAGGCUUAACACAUGCAAGUCGAGGGGUAACGAGAGGAAAGCUUGCUUUCCUUGUUGACGACCGGCGCACGGGUGAGUAACGCGUAUCCAACCUGCCCCCAACUAGGGAAUAACCUUGCGAAAGUAAGACUAAUACCCUAUAAUUUCCUCAGAUGUCAUCUGACGAGGAAUAAAGAUUUAUUGGUUGUGGAUGGGGAUGCGUCUGAUUAGCUUGUUGGCGGGGUAACGGCCCACCAAGGCAACGAUCAGUAGGGGUUCUGAGAGGAAGGUCCCCCACAUUGGAACUGAGACACGGUCCAAACUCCUACGGGAGGCAGCAGUGAGGAAUAUUGGUCAAUGGGCGGAAGCCUGAACCAGCCAAGUAGCGUGCAGGAUGACGGCCCUAUGGGUUGUAAACUGCUUUUAUACAGGAAUAAAGUUGGCCACGUGUGGUUAUUUGUAGGUACUGUAUGAAUAAGGACCGGCUAAUUCCGUGCCAGCCGCCGCCGUAA
rnacentral:rRNA from 1 species